UGCGUAGGGAGCAAGCGUUGUCCGGAAUCAUUGGGCGUAAAGCGCGCGUAGGUGGCCUCAUAAGUCCGCUGUGAAAGUCAAAGGCUCAACCUUUGAAAGCCGGUGGAUACUGUGGGGCUAGAGUACGGAAGAGGCGAGUGGAAUUCCUGGUGUAGCGGUGGAAUGCGCAGAUAUCAGGAGGAACACCAAUAGCGAAGGCAGCUCGCUGGGACGUUACUGACACUGAGGCGCGAAAGCGUGGGGAGCGAACAGG
rnacentral:rRNA from 1 species